GUCUUGUUCCACGCUGUGGAAGGUUUGUUCUUCGCAAUAAAUUUUGCUGCUGCUCACUCUUUGGGUCUGCACUGCAUUUAUGAUGUGUAACACUCACUGUGAAGGUCUGCAGCUUCACUUCUGAGGCCAGCGAGACCAGAAACCCACUGGGAGGAAUGAGCAACUUUGGAUGGGAGGAACGAACAACUGCAGAUGUGCCGCCCUCAGAGCUGUAGCACAGUGAACGUCUGCGGCUUCGCUCCUGAAGCCAGCGAGAUCACGAACCCACCAGAAGACAAAAUCUCUGAACACGUCCGAACAUUAGAAGGAAUGGACUCCGGACACGCCUUUUUUUUUUUUUUUUGAGACAGUGUUUUUCUCUGUCGCCCAGGCUGGAGUGUAGUGCAAUCUCGACUCACUGCAAGCUCUGCCUCUCGGGUUCAUGCCAUUCUCCUGCCUCAGCCUCCAGAGCAGCUGGGACUACAGGCGCCCGCUGCCACGCCCGGCUGAAUUUUUUUGUAUUUUUAGUGGAGACGGGGUCUCACGGUGUUAGCCAGGAUGGUCUCGAUCUUCUCAUCUGCCCGCCUGGGCCUCCCAAAGUGCGGGGAUUACAGGCGUGAACCACCGUGCCCAGCCACUCUUUAAGAACUGUAGCAGUCACCGCGAGGGUCCGCGGCUUCAUUCUGGAAGCCAUUGAGACUGAGAACCCGCCAAUUCCGGACACAAUUUCAUAGUACAUCAGUAUGGUCCAAUACAGGUACCUCCUCAGGAAACUCUGAAAAAGAAGAAGUAGAAAUAGUAUGAGACAAGAAACAGUCAUAUUCCAAAGAAUGAAAUACUGUUACAAAUGAUGGAUCCAGAAAAUCUUAUCUGGCAACUUGCUGUUAUUUUCAGUAAGCCUGAUGAUGAAGAAGAAAGGAAAGAAGAAAAGAGGUUAUCUUCGAAGAGAUAAUGACUGAAAAAUUUCAAGAACUGAUAAAAGACGCCAACCUACAUAUUCAAGAAGGAUAAGUAUCCAAAGAAUGAACUCACCAGCCACCUUCUUAAGGAAACAUAAACAAACAAAAACAAAAAGUUUCAAAUCCUACUGAAAGCAAUGCAUU
rnacentral:lncRNA from 10 species